rnacentral:tRNA from 2 species
GGAGAGAUGGCUGAGCGGUUUAAGGCGGCGGUCUCGAAAACCGUUGUGGGGGCUUCCUCCACCGUGGGUUCGAAUCCCACUCUCUCCGCCA